rnacentral:rRNA from 1 species
CAGUCGCCACGGUAAAACGUAGGGCGCGAGCGUUGUCCGGAAUUAUUGGGCGUAAAGAGCUUGUAGGCGGUUGGUCGCGUCUGCUGUGAAAGGCUGGGGCUUAACCCUGGUUUUGCAGUGGGUACGGGCUAACUGGAGUGCAGUAGGGGAGACUGGAAUUCCUGGUGUAGCGGUGGAAUGCGCAGAUAUCAGGAGGAACACCGAUGGCGAAGGCAGGUCUCUGGGCUGUAACUGACGCUGAGAAGCGAAAGCAUGGGGAGCGAACAGGAUUAGAUACCCCUGUAGUCCCUGUCUCUUAUAA